rnacentral:rRNA from 1 species
UACGUAGGGUGCAAGCGUUACUCGGAAUUACUGGGCGUAAAGCGUGCGCAGGCGGUCUUGCAAGACAGGUGGGAAAUCCCCGGGCUUAACCUGGGAACUGCACUUGUGACUGCAAGGCUGGAGUACGGCAGAGGGGGAUGGAAUUCCGCGUGUAGCAGUGAAAUGCGUAGAUAUGCGGAGGAACACCGAUGGCGAAGGCAAUCCCCUGGGCCUGUACUGACGCUCAUGCACGAAAGCGUGGGGAGCAAACCGG